rnacentral:rRNA from 1 species
UGGGGAAUAUUGGACAAUGGGCGCAAGCCUGAUCCAGCCAUGCCGCGUGAGUGAUGAAGGCCCUAGGGUUGUAAAGCUCUUUCACCGGUGAAGAUAAUGACGGUAACCGGAGAAGAAGCCCCGGCUAACUUCGUGCCAGCAGCCGCGGUAAUACGAAGGGGGCUAGCGUUGUUCGGAAUUACUGGGCGUAAAGCGCACGUAGGCGGACAUUUAAGUCAGGGGUGAAAUCCCGGGGCUCAACCCCGGAACUGCCUUUGAUACUGGGUGUCUAGAGUAUGGAAGA